UACGAACUGUGCAAACGUUAUUCGGAAUCACUGGGCUUAAAGGGCGCGUAGGCGGUCUGGUCAGUCCCUUGUGAAAUCCCCCGGCUCAACUGGGGAACUGCACGGGAAACAGCCGGGCUUGAGUUCGGGAGAGGGAAGCGGAAUUCCGGGUGUAGCGGUGAAAUGCGUAGAUAUCCGGAGGAACACCGGUGGCGAAGGCGGCUUCCUGGACCGAUACUGACGCUGAGGCGCGAAAGCUAGGGGAGCAAACGGG
rnacentral:rRNA from 1 species